UCCUACGGGGGGCAGCAGUGGGGAAUAUUGGGCAAUGGGCGCAAGCCUGACCCAGCAAUGCCGCGUGAAGGAAGAAGGCCCUCGGGUUGUAAACUUCUCUUAUCAGGGACGAAGGAUGUGACGGUACCUGAUGAAUAAGCUCCGGUUAACUACGUGCCAGCAGCCGCGGUAAUACGUAGGGAGCAAGCGUUAUCCGGAUUUAUUGGGUUUAAAGGGUGCGCAGGCGGUCUGUUAAGUCAGCGGUCAAAGCCCGGGGCUCAACCCCGGCCCGCCGUUGAAACUGGCAGUCUCGAGUUGGAGAGAAG
rnacentral:rRNA from 1 species